CAGAAAUGGUUGGGUAACCUGGUGCAAUCUUAUGCGUGACAGGGAUCAGGGUUUGCAAUUAUUCCCUGUGAACGAGGAAUUCCGAGUAAGCACAAGUCAUUAGCUUGUGCUGAUUACGUCCCUGCCCUU
rnacentral:rRNA from 1 species